UUUAGAAUAGCAAAGUAAUUAAUUUUUUAACAGGGAUAAAUACAAAAGUUGAAAAUUUUAUAGGGCUAUAUAGGCAAUUGGCCUUAAAUAUUUUAAAAAAUACUUCUUGUACAUCCAAAAAGAGAGCGUAGAUUUUACUCCUCUCGCCUUAGGGCUGAUAAAAAUUUAAAAAUGUUUUAGUAAAAAUCAAAAAAUAUUGAUGUGACAAAUAGAAUAUUAAUGGGAUAGAGUUGGUGUAAAAUAUGCAUCCCAUUUUGGAGUGUAGCAGCAUUAUUGCUCAAAUAUUUUAGGAACAAUUUUAUAACUAUCCCUCAAAAUUUUAGAAGUACCACAAAUAUUAUUGAAAAUAUCAAAAUAUCAAAUAUGCCCUUCCAAU
rnacentral:lncRNA from 1 species